rnacentral:lncRNA from 1 species
UACACAUUUCAUAACCUUGUUGUUAUUUACCAGGAUAUCCAUUUUCUCCCUUCAAAAAUAGUAUUCCUUAUGUGCACAUGAGAAAGUCACCACAGAAAAGAAAGCAACCUGAUGCUGUCAGAGUGACUCACGUAUCCUCUAUUCUUGGAAGGAGGAGAAAAGAUGGAAGGCCAAUGCAAUACUUUGUUACAUGGAUCUUAUGUUACAUUAUGUCUGUGGCCCAGCAUGCUUAUGUGAAAGAAAGAAUACCAGUCUCAUUUUUCAGGUAUACAACUUCAAGAGAACACCAUGGCUUUAGUCAAAAGGAAAGAAGCUGCGUCAUGUUGUCGGUGUUUGAAGGAAGAAAAGGCUGAAGAUAAUUCUUUAUCAGGUGGAACAGAACCUCUUAUAUGAAAACUCUCUGUUCCCAUCAUUCAAAGACUACCAGGAACACAUCUGUGAUCAACAAAGAGAUUAUCUUGGUAGGAUGCCUGCUGAUGUUGGCUUUGAGUGACGUGACCUUCAACGCUUCCUUAAACAUGGACAUGAAAAGGAUCAGCUUCCAGCAGAUUAAGUGAAGUCAAGAAAACUACCAAGAAAAAAAAAUAAUAAAGGCAGUUUAACUUUGAAAGCAAUUUUACUCAAUAUUUCUAAUUUGCCUUUAAGACUUGUAAGAGCCUAGCUUAAAUAAACAGAUUUCUAGAUCAUUUCCUAUCAAUUAGCUAAUACUUGGCCUGAAACAGUCUCCUGGCUUUUGUCGUAUUUUAAAUAAUGUAAAGACUAUAUUAGAGGUAUGACCAACUUAAUCUCCAAAACUUUAUUUUAUUUAUUUUAUUCAGUAUUGUUACAUUUAUUUUCAAUGAGCUUUUUUUAAAAAAGGUUAUUGCCUCUACAUGUAGGUACAUUUAAAAAAAAAUUAUAAUGUGGUUUCACUAAUUCAAUGUUUAGUUAGUUUGUACAUCAUGCAUAGGAAUUUUCUAAAUACUGAUUUAUUGCCUUUCUUCUUCCUGAUUACGGUAGCCUGUCCCGAUCCCCAUGCCCUCAAAUAUCCCAAUAUUAACAAC